rnacentral:lncRNA from 1 species
AAGGUUAGGGUUGUAGGGGUACAGGGCUAUAGGUUAUAGGGUCAGGGUCAAGGUUAGGGUUGUAGAGGUACAGGGUUAUAGGGUUAUAAGUUAUAGGGUCAGGGUUGGGGUUAUAGGGUCAGGGUCAAGGUUAGGGUUGGGGUUGUAGUGGUACAGGGUUAUAGGGUUAUAGGUUAUAGAGUCAGGGUCAAGGUUAGGGUUGGGGUUGUAGGGAUACAGGCUUAUAGGGUUAUAGGAUUAUAGGGUUAUAGCAUGAAGUUUAGGGUUAGGGUUGUAAGGGUAUAGGGUUAUAGGGUUAUAGGGUCAGGGUCAAGGUUAGGGUUGGGGUUGUAGGAGUACAGGCUUAUAGGGUUUGGAUUAUAGGAUUAGGGUUAUAGGGUCAGUGUUAUGGGGUUGUAGAGGCACAGGAUUAUAGGGUUAUAGGGUCAGGGCUAUAGGGUCAGGUCUAUAGGGUUGUAGAGGCAUAGGAUUAUAGGGUUACAGGGUCAGGGUUAUGGGGUUACAGAGGCACAGGAUUAUAGGGUUAUGGGGUCAGGGUUAUGGGGUUGUAGAGGCACAGGAUUAUAGGGUUAUAGGGUCAGGGUUAUGGGGUUGUAGAGGCACAGGAUUCUAG